rnacentral:tRNA from 1 species
UCCCCGAUCGUCUAAUUGGCAGGACAACAGAUUCUGGCUCUGUUAAUCGAGGUUCGAGUCCUUGUCGGGGAACCA